rnacentral:tRNA from 1 species
GCCGGGGUGGCGGAAUUGGCAGACGCGUAGGUCUCAAAAACCUAUGACAUUUUUGUCGUGAGGGUUCGAUCCCCUCCCCUGGCA